rnacentral:rRNA from 1 species
ACGGAGGAUCCAAGCGUUAUCCGGAAUCAUUGGGUUUAAAGGGUCCGUAGGUGGACAAAUAAGUCAGAGGUGAAAUCCUGCAGCUCAACUGUAGAACUGCCUUUGAUACUGUUUGUCUUGAGUUAUUAUGAAGUGGUUAGAAUGUGUAGUGUAGCGGUGAAAUGCAUAGAUAUUACACAGAAUACCGAUUGCGAAGGCAGAUCACUAAUAAUUAACUGACACUGAGGGACGAAAGCGUGGGUAGCGAACAGG